UUUAUCUGAGUUUUUCUGAAACUAUAUAAACUGAAUCAAUCACAAUUUUAAAGAUAACAUAUAUACUUAGAAAGAACAAAAAGGAUCUUAUUGACUUUUUGAAAAAUACACUUUGUGAAAAACUGUUAUAACUCACAAACAUUAUUGGCAAAUACUAAGUGUUAGAAUUCAUUGUGAUUGAAUCAAGUGUUUUUAGUCUUUUUUUUUUUAAGAUUCAUCUUUGUAAAAGAAAGUGUGUAGAAAAUCAGUAUUGUGAAACUGGUGGUCAUCUUUUAGAUUGUGUGAUCAUCUAAAGGAGAUCUCAAUCUGAUCUUGCUAUAGCUUGGCGAUUAGUUAUUAAGGAUAUAUUGGUUGUUGUUGAAGAUUGAUGUUGAGUUAGAUGUAUAGGCAGUGAAGUGCUGGAAAGUCUGUAAACAUUCUCAAAGCAAUAAUAGUAAAGGCUGGAAUCGGUAAGUGAUUCCAAGACUGGAUGUAGACUAUCUAAUUGAUAGUCGAACCAGUAUAAAAAUCUAUGGUGCACACUUCUCUAUCUCUAUACUCCUUAUCUUGAUAAUGCAUGUGUUCUUGAAUCUUAAUUUUGAAUAAACUUUGUGAAUCUAUUACUGUUAAAAUUGGAAUUAAUAUUAAACAAGUUGGUUUUGAUAUUAAGUUUAUCACUUAGGAAGGAAUUAGAUAAUAUUAUUAAUAAUAUUGUAUACAACUUCUUAAGGAUAGAGGUCAUAACACCAACAAAUAUUUGCAUUCAGAAAGCCAAAUGUGGAUGGAAAAAUCGUAUGAAGUAUUUAUUUAGAAGCUCAAGUCAUUAGGGUGGAAAACAGAACGUCUUCUAUCAUCACCUAUCAUAUGGAGAGCAAACUGGAUACAUGAAUCGUCGGAAGAAAAAAUUGAUUAGGGUUCAUCUUCAGCUGUGAUAUAUUAACAUUGGUCCAGAGGUGGCUAGUGGAAGCUAUGGAUGGAUUGAGUUAUAUGGUUGACAAUGUUAACAUUUAAUAUUUUACAAGAUAUUGAUGAUUUUAUUGAAGUUCUGUCAAGAUAAAGAAAACUUGAAGUUUUGUUUAGUUGUGUGGAAUGCAGUAAAUGUUUUGUAGCUUA